UACGAAGGGGGCUAGCGUUGCUCGGAAUCACUGGGCGUAAAGGGUGCGUAGGCGGGUCUUUAAGUCAGGGGUGAAAUCCUGGAGCUCAACUCCAGAACUGCCUUUGAUACUGAGGAUCUUGAGUUCGGGAGAGGUGAGUGGAAUUCCCAGUGUAGAGGUGAAAUUCGUAGAUAUUGGGAAGAACACCGGUGGCGAAGGCGGCUCACUGGCUCAUUUCUGACGCUCAGGCGCGACAGCGUGGGGAUCAAACAGG
rnacentral:rRNA from 1 species